rnacentral:lncRNA from 1 species
UCUCUCCUGACCAUCAGACAUUCCCAUUUUCAUCUCUGCCCUUCCUGUGCUUGCCUUCUUCCCCGACAGAUGCGUCAUCUCUCUGCUCUUUUCCCCCCCGACACCGGUCUUCCUUUCUGAAUUUAAGCAUUUUUGCCGUGCCAUUUCUGCUCCCCUCACUUCACAUGUCUGCUCUCCUCCUCCUUCUUGACUUUCCCCAGGGCCCUGGAGUUGCUUUCUUUGGAGACAGUGUCUACUCGCUCUUUCUUUCCAGAGCUUUGGCCAGCUGGCCCCAGAAAUCCAUCAGUGGCCCAUCAGGGACCAGGCUAGCAGCUGUCACUCCCACCGUGGAAUUUAGAUGCGUAGCGGGGCCCGUGGCCACUGAUGCCUGGGAGAUGGAGACGGGUUUGGGCCUCUCUCAUCUGUGUUCCACCAUAUUCGCAUGGAUUUUCCUGCCCCUGGAGGCUUCUCUAAACACGGUUCCUGCCUCCUGGGUUUUCCCUUUGGAUUCUUGCUUUUCCAAGUAGGUGCACACAGUAUACACAUGGACACACACUGAGUACUCCC